AGAGUGUGCAAGGACAUUUUUGCGUGUUUGUAGACCUAAACAAUGAUGUCUUAAAGAAUAUGCUACACCAUGGGUGUUACUAUUAGUAAAAGUGAAAACGAGAGGGUUCUGACAGCUCCUCAAGAGUCAAAUAUUUCUUUCACCUUUGCUCACCUGUUUUGGCUUCAAGAAACUGUGCAAUGGAUGAGUGAGGAGUUACUUUGGAUUUAUAUGGACAACUUUGAACUGUCCCCAUGCAGAGGAUGAUAGAGAUAACAAGCUCUCUGAUGGUAAGCAUCUGGGAUGGAAAGAAAGAUCAUAGGAUGUUGUGGGAUUCCCUUUGUUUCUUUCUUCAAAUGUGUAUGUCUCCACUGUUUUAUUGAAGCUUUUCCAAACCCC
rnacentral:lncRNA from 1 species